CUGGCUGGCGAAAAAGUGUCCGAUGAUCCUGACGAUCACUUCCUCAUUUUCAUCUGGGGUUUGGUCACGAGGCACGAUAACUUCUGCGCUUGUCAAGUUCUGGAGCUCGUUGACCUGGAAAGGCAGAGAAGGAACUCCUGUAGGUUUGACUGACAGAGAAAUGGGGGUGUAGCCCUAACUCCACGAGGCUCUGCCUCUCAGGCUGAAUGCUCCCAUUCUGCAGACACUCGUGCGGACUUCUAGUAAGAGCCCAGAACCUGCGCUCCCCGACCCCAGUUCCUGCCACUCAACGUCACUUCAUCAUCACAGGCCCAGAACUGCUCCAGUCACCUCCUCACCAACUUCCCAAAGAUCCGUCCCUGAGCCUGAGGACAAGAUGACUGGUGAUCGGGCCACUCGGUCAGCGCUGUGCGGGAACUCGGAGUCCCAGGGACGGGAUGUGUGGGCUUCCCUCCAGGCACGGGGCAGCUGCCCACCCGCCUCAGUUCUGCCACCCAUCUCAGCCACCACGCUCCACCAUCUGUGCACGCUGGCGAGCCUCGUGAUCUGCAGGUGACUGCUUCCUCUAAGGAACGUGUGUGUCUAGGCAAGGGCAACCGUGAGCCACCAAGACUGCACCCUGUUUUCAUAUGCCCAGUGCCUUUUCUCUAGAGCACUGGCCCAGCCGAGCACAGUGACAGCAGAGCAGAGCACACUCAGGAGGUGGAAGCAGGAGAAUCAGGACUUCAAGGUCAUCACAGGCGCCAAGGCUCUAAGCCAGGGUCUACCCUGGGACUUCAGGGUCCAGUGCUGUGUCCCAGCUUCCUUGGGAACACUCAUCCACUGCAUGGUGUCACCUUCACUGAUCUAGAAAGGAGGACCCUUCAUCGAGACCUCUGGAGACUCUUCUGGCCUUGUUUACUUACUCUGUAGCAUGAGGACAAAUGGAAGACAUAGAGUCCUGAGAAUGCUGUGGAGCGAUGCCUACAGGACUGAUCAGACCUGCGCCUGAACUCCCUCACUCUUCAUUUCCCUGAAGGCGCUAACUGGGAAUGACUCUGAUGAUCAGUAAGGUUGCUACGGGAGGAGGAGGCCGUGGAGCAGAAACAGGACAAUCUGGGCAAGUCUCGGCUGUCACACUCUGUAGCUUUGUGGCCAUGGGUAGAUAGUCAGACCUCCUGGCUCCAUUUCUCAUAAGCGUUAGCAAAUGGGGAAGUUAUUGCUGUGGUCAGCAGUAGCAGGUGGUCAGGGUCCUAGAGGUCAAUGGGAUUUAUAUCUUAGAGCUAGG